CCUACGGGGGGCAGCAGUAGGGAAUCUUCCACAAUGGGCGCAAGCCUGAUGGAGCAACACCGCGUGAGUGAAGAAGGGUUUCGGCUCGUAAAGCUCUGUUGUUGGAGAAGAACGUGCGUGAGAGUAACUGUUCACGCAGUGACGGUAUCCAACCAGAAAGUCACGGAUAACUACGUGCCAGCAGCCGCGGUAAUACGUAGGUGGCAAGCGUUAUCCGGAUUUAUUGGGCGUAAAGCGAGCGCAGGCGGUUGCUUAGGUCGGAUGUGAAAGCCUUCGGCUUAACCGAAGAAGUGCAUCGGAAACCGGGCAACUUGAGUGCAGAAGAGGACAGUGGAACUCCAUGUGUAGCGGUGGAAUGCGUAGAUAUAUGGAAGAACACCAGUGGCGAAGGCGGCUGUCUGGUCUGCAACUGACGCUGAGGCUCGAAAGCAUGGGUAGCGAACAGGAUUAGAUACCCCUGUAGUC
rnacentral:rRNA from 1 species